ensembl:lncRNA MUC20-OT1 MUC20 overlapping transcript
CACCGCUGCAAGAGGGGAAGUUGCUACUGUGAUGAAUUCUGCCAUGUGGCACCAGACUGCCACCCAGACCACAGUGUCCUCUGCAACCCUGGUAACUCACAUACAGGCCCGAUUCCACCUACAGCAAAGCUGGAUGCGAUGGCUGGCAGAGGCAAACCCUUUGCCUGCACUUCAGGCCAAAGCCGGGAUGUGGCCUAGAUGGUUCCUAAGCUUCUCAGAUGACCAAGAUGGUGCUGCAGAUGGUGCUGAGGAUGGAGAACCCACCAAGCCCCGCUAGGAGCCACCUAGACUGGAUGCAGAGCAUGUUUUAUUUGCUUCCAAGAAGGAAGGCAAGAUUUCCUGGGUCCGUGAUGAUGGAAGGCUGACAACUCUUUUAUGGAGUUUGAGCUUGCUCCCAGCAGGGAAGACAAGUUCGAGUUUUUUUCCUGCUUCAAGGAUGGUAGAGAGCAGUCUUCAGCCUGAGACCCAUCCCUAGGCCCCAGCACCCGCAGAGCAGACACUGCGAUGACAACGGACGACACAGAAGUGCCCGCUAUGACUCUAGCACCGGGCCACGCCGCUCUGGAAACUCAAACGCUGAGCGCUGAGACCUCUUCUAGGGCCUCAACCCCAGCCGGCCCCAUUCCAGAAGCAGAGACCAGGGGAGCCAAGAGAAUUUCCCCUGCAAGAGAGACCAGGAGUUUCACAAAAACAUCUCCCAACUUCAUGGUGCUGAUCGCCACCUCCGUGGAGACAUCAGCCGCCAGUGGCAGCCCCGAGGGAGCUGGAAUGACCACAGUUCAGACCAUCACAGGCAGUGAUCCCAGGGAAGCCAUCUUUGACACCCUUUGCACCGAUGACAGCUCUGAAGA